GCCAGCGUUAUCCGGAAUUAUUGGGCGUAAAGAGCUCGUAGGCGGUUUGUCGCGUCUGCUGUGAAAUCCGGAGGCUCAACCUCCGGCCUGCAGUGGGUACGGGCAGACUAGAGUGCGGUAGGGGAGAUUGGAAUUCCUGGUGUAGCGGUGGAAUGCGCAGAUAUCAGGAGGAACACCGAUGGCGAAGGCAGAUCUCUGGGCCGUAACUGACGCUGAGGAGCGAAAGGGUGGGGAGCAAACAGGCUUAGAUACCCUGGUAGUCCACCCCGUAAACGUUGGGAACUAGUUGUGGGGUCCAUUCCACGGAUUCCGUGACGCAGCUAACGCAUUAAGUUCCCCGCCUGGGGAGUACGGCCGCAAGGCUAAAACUCAAAGGAAUUGACGGGGACCCGCACAAGCGGCGGAGCAUGCGGAUUAAUUCGAUGCAACGCGAAGAACCUUACCAAGGCUUGACAUAUACGAGAACGGGCCAGAAAUGGUCAACUCUUUGGACACUCGUAAACAGGUGGUGCAUGGUUGUCGUCAGCUCGUGUCGUGAGAUGUUGGGUUAAGUCCCGCAACGAGCGCAACCCUCGUUCUAUGUUGCCAGCACGUAAUGGUGGGAACUCAUGGGAUACUGCCGGGGUCAACUCGGAGGAAGGUGGGGAUGACGUCAAAUCAUCAUGCCCCUUAUGUCUUGGGCUUCACGCAUGCUACAAUGGCCGGUACAAAGGGCUGCAAUACCGCGAGGUGGAGCGAAUCCCAAAAAGCCGGUCCCAGUUCGGAUUGAGGUCUGCAACUCGACCUCAUGAAGUCGGAGUCGCUAGUAAUCGCAGAUCAGCAACGCUGCGGUGAAUACGUUCCCGGGUCUUGUACACACCGCCCGUCAAGUCAUGAAAGUCGGUAACACCUGAAGCCGGUGGCCUAACCCUUGUGGAGGGAGCCGUCGAAGGUGGGAUCGGUAAU
rnacentral:rRNA from 1 species